GGGCCUGCCACACACUGCUCUGGCGAGGCAUCCCACCCGGGCAAAUGCCUACCCAGGAGCGCUCUCAGGAUCUGCGUCACUUGGGCUGGUCGAAGUCCCCCACAGGGAUGUUCCACAGGGCAGGCUUAAGCCGCCUAAGGAGCUGUCUCGACCAUCUGCCAAUCACCUUGCUUCCCGAUCAGGCCAGGCAUGGUGGCUUAUGCCUGUAAUCCUAGCACUUUGGGAGGCUGAGGUGGGAGGAUCCUUCAAAGCCAGGAGUUCAAGACCAGCCUGGGUAAGGGUAACAAAGCGAGAUGCCAGCUCUACAAAAAAGAAAACAAGAAUUUGAGAGCACCUUGCAGAUUUCAUCGGGAAGUUGAGUCCAUAUCCUCUCCCCAUGAAUGUGGGCAAUUUGUGGCUGUUUCAACGAACAGACUACAGAAUAAGUGAUGCUGUGUGACUUCUAUGGUUGUGUCAUGAAAAGCUAUUCAGUUUCUGCCUAAGUCUCUUGGAACAUGCUUGCUCUUGGGAUACUUCCUGUUAGAACCCAGCCACCAGCUUGUGAACCCAAGCCACUUGAAGAGGCCAUCUUUAGGUGCUCAGGUCAACAAUCCCAACUAAGCCCAGCUUUUGAGUCAUCCUAGCCCAGAUGCUACACAUGUGAAUGAAGGAGACUCCAGAUGAUUCCGGUCAUUUGAGUCCUUCCAGCUGAUACCCUGCUGUGCCCAGUCCAAAUUCCUGUUGCAUAGAAUCUAUGAGCCAAAUAAAAUUGUUGUUGUUUUAUGCCACCAAGUUUGGGGUGGCAUAGAUAUUGAAA